rnacentral:rRNA from 1 species
UCGGCGACCGGCGCACGGGUGCGUAACGCGUAUGCAACCUACCCAUUACAGGGGGAUAACACUGAGAAAUCGGUACUAAUACCCCAUAACAUCCAGGGAGGCAUCUUCUUGGGUUGAAAACUCCGGUGGUAAUGGAUGGGCAUGCGUUGUAUUAGUUAGUUGGUGGGGUAACGGCUCACCAAGACAACGAUACAUAGGGGGACUGAGAGGUUAACCCCCCCACAUUGGUACUGAGACACGGACCAAACUCCUACGGAAGGCAGCAG